GUAACCUCUGCCUCUCGGGUUCAAGCGAUUCUCCUGCCUCAGCCUCCCUAGAAGUUGGAAUUACAGGCACGCCACCAUGCCCAACUAAUUUUUGUAGUUUUAGUAGAGAUGGGGUUUCACUAUGUUAGCCAGGCUGGUCUUGAACUCCUGACCUCAGGUGAUCUGCCCACCUUGGCCUCCCAAAGUGCUGAGAUUACAGGCGUAAGCCACCACGCCCAGCCCUAUUUUACCA
rnacentral:lncRNA from 1 species